rnacentral:tRNA from 1 species
GCUGCGAUGGCCGGAGUGCGUUAAGGCGUUGCGACUCGAAAUCCAAUGGGAUCUUCCCGCGUAGGUUCGAACCUACUCGCAGCG